rnacentral:rRNA from 1 species
UACGGAGGUGCCAAGCGUUAGGCGGAAUCACUGGGCGUAAAGGGCGCGUAGGCGGCCUGAUAAGUAGGGGGUGAAAUCCUGCGGCUUAACCGCAGGGCUGCCUUCUAAACUGUCAGGCUGGAGCACAGUAGAGGCAGGUGGAAUUCCCGGUGUAGCGGUGGAAUGCGUAGAGAUCGGGAAGAACAUCAGUGGCGAAGGCGGCCUGCUGGGCUGUUGCUGACGCUGAGGCGCGACAGCGUGGGGAGCAAACAGG